rnacentral:rRNA from 1 species
CCUACGGGUGGCAGCAGUGAGGAAUAUUGGUCAAUGGGCGGAAGCCUGAACCAGCCAAGUAGCGUGCAGGAUGACGGCCCUACGGGUUGUAAACUGCUUUUAUACGGGAAUAACGCGCCUUACGUGUAGGGCUUUGCAUGUACCGUAUGAAUAAGGACCGGCUAAUUCCGUGCCAGCAGCCGCGGUAAUACGGAGGGUCCGGGCGUUAACCGGAUUGAGUGGGUGUAAGGGGAGCGUAGGCAGCAGGUCAAGCCUGCUGUGAAAUGUCCGGGCUCAACCCGGGCCUUGCAGCGCGAACUGGCGUGCUUGAGUCCGCGGAAGGCAGGCGGAAUUCGUCGUGUAGCGGUGAAAUGCUUAGAUAUGACGAAGAACCCCGGUUGCGAAGGCAGCUUGCUGCAGCGGAACUGACGCUGAUGCUCGAAAGCGCGGGUAUCGAACAGGAUUAGAUACCCGGGUAGUC